rnacentral:rRNA from 1 species
AAACUUAAAUAGAAUUGACGGGGACCCGCACAAGCAGCGGAGCAUGUGGUUUAAUUCGAAGCAACGCGAAGAACCUUACCAGAUCUUGACAUCCAAUUGACCAUUCUUUUAAUCGAGAUUUUGCCUUCGGGUACAAUUGAGACAGGUGGUGCAUGGUUGUCGUCAGCUCGUGUCGUGAGAUGUUGGGUUAAGUCCCGCAACGAGCGCAACCCUUGUGUUUUAGUUGCAAACAGGUCAAGCUGUGCACUCUAGACAGACUGCCGUGGACAACACGGAGGAAGGUGGGGAUGACGUCAAAUCAUCAUGCCCCUUAUGAUCUGGGCUACACACGUGCUACAAUGGCCGGUACAACGGGCAGCGAAGGAGCGAUCCGGAGCGAAUCCUAAAAAGCCGGUCCCAGUUCGGAUUGCAGGCUGAAACUCGCCUACAUGAAGUUGGAGUUGCUAGUAAUCGCGAAUCAGAAUGUCGCGGUGAAUGCGUUCCCGGGUCUU